rnacentral:tRNA from 1 species
CGAGAAAGUUCCAAGAACUGCUA